ACCCGCACAAGCGGUGGAUGAUGUGGUUUAAUUCGAUGCAACGCGAAAAACCUUACCCACCUUUGACAUGGCAGGAAUCCUAAAGAGAUUUGGAGUGCUCGAAAGAGAACCUGCACACAGGUGCUGCAUGGCUGUCGUCAGCUCGUGUCGUGAGAUGUUGGGUUAAGUCCCGCAACGAGCGCAACCCUUGCCAUUAGUUGCUACGAAAGGGCACUCUAAUGGGACUGCCGGUGACAAACCGGAGGAAGGUGGGGAUGACCGUCAAGUCCUCAUGGCCCUUAUAGGUGGGGCUACACACGUCAUACAAUGGAUGGUACAAAGGGUCGCCAACCCGCGAGGGGGAGCCAAUCCCAUAAAGCCAUUCGUAGUCCGGAUCGCAGUCUGCAACUCGACUGCGUGAAGUCGGAAUCGCUAGUAAUCGUGGAUCAGAAUGUCACGGUGAAUACGUUCCCGGGUCUU
rnacentral:rRNA from 1 species